CCUACGGGUGGCAGCAGUGAGGAAUAUUGGUCAAUGGGCGCGAGCCUGAACCAGCCAAGUAGCGUGAAGGAUGACUGCCCUACGGGUGGUAAACUUCUUUUAUAAAGGAAUAAAGUGAGGCACGUGUGCCUUUUUGUAUGUACUUUAUGAAUAAGGAACGGCUAACUCCGUGCCAGCAGCGGCGGUAAUACGGAGGAUCCGAGCGUUAUCCGGAUUUAUGGGGUUUAAAGGGAGCGUAGAUGGGUUGUUAAGUCAGGUGUGAAAGUGUGCGGAUCAACCGUAAAAUUGCAAUGGAUACUGGCAGUCUUGAGUACAGUUGAGGUAGGCGGAAUUCGAGGUGUAGCGGUGAAAUGCUUAGAUAUCACGAAGAACUCCGAUUGCGAAGGCAGCUUACUAAACUGCCACUGACAUUGAUGCUCGAAAGUGUGGGUAGCAAACAGGAUUAGAUACCCUUGUAGUC
rnacentral:rRNA from 1 species